UCUUGUCUAGCUCAGUUGGAAUAGCACAAGGCUCUUAACCUUGUGGUUGUGGGUUCGAGCCCCACGAUGGGCA